GAUGAACGCUAGCUACAGGCUUAACACAUGCAAGUCGAGGGGAAACGAUAGAGAAAGCUUGCUUUUUCUAGGCGUCGACCGGCGCACGGGUGAGUAACGCGUAUCCAACCUGCCCAUCACUUGGGAAUAACCUUGCGAAAGUAAGACUAAUACCCAAUGAUAUCUCUAGAAGACAUCUGAAGGAGAUUAAAGAUUUAUCGGUGAUGGAUGGGGAUGCGUCUGAUUAGCUUGUUGGCGGGGUAACGGCCACCAAGGCGACGAUCAGUAGGGGUUCUGAGAGGAAGGUCCCCCACAUUGGAACUGAGACACGGUCCAAACUCCUACGGGAGGCAGCAGUGAGGAAUAUUGGUCAAUGGGCGAGAGCCUGAACCAGCCAAGUAGCGUGCAGGAUGACGGCCCUAUGGGUUGUAAACUGCUUUUAUAAGGGAAUAAAGUGAGCCUCGUGAGGCUUUUUGCAUGUACCUUAUGAAUAAGGACCGGCUAAUUCCGUGCCAGCCGCCGCGGUAA
rnacentral:rRNA from 1 species